AUCUGCAGCCACACAACCCCAAUCCCGGAUGGUAAGCAGGGUUUGGCCUGGCCACCACUUAGAUGGGAGACUGCCUGAAAAUACUGGGUGCUGUAGGCU
ensembl:rRNA 5S_rRNA 5S ribosomal RNA